rnacentral:rRNA from 1 species
UGCAACUCGACUCCAUGAAGCUGGAUUCGCUAGUAAUCGCGCAUCAGCCAUGGCGCGGUGAAUACGUUCCCGGGGCCUUGUACACACCGCCCGUCAAGCCAUGGGAGCCGGGGGUGCCUGAAGUACGUGACCGCGAGGAGCGUCCUAGGGCAAAACUGGUGACUGGGGCUAAGUCGUAACAAGGUAGC